rnacentral:lncRNA from 1 species
CUAAUAUGGUAUAUAUACUGUAAACCUGUAUUUAUUAAAAUAUGAAUGGUGAAAAUAAUAUAUUAAUUUGUAUUCUCAUAAAACUAUGAAGGAAACGACCAAAGUUUUGUCAAAAACUGCCUCCUUUCUAAAAACAUUUCCAUAUAAUUUUAUUUUGGAAUUUAUUUUAUAAUGUGAUAAACAAAAUAUUUUAUUUCAAAAAGGGUCCCAACUUGGCAUAUAUAGAUGUAAUUCUGGUCUAUCAUUGCAUACCUGGCCACUGAAAUAUGAGCCAUAAGGUAAAAGGAAGCAAUGUCUACUGAUGUUUAUGGAAGAAAGGAGAAGACCCUUCACCACAAUAGAAAUUUGUGAGCUGCUGGCAUGGCAGGGAACUUGGCGACAGCAUAUCCAAUGAACAUGGGGAGAAUGAAAGACUGAUGGAGUUAACAUCUUUCCCAAGCUCAUGCAGUCAGCUGGUGAGGAGAAGGCAAUAGUGAGGUCAAGACUCCUAGGAUGCUGGGCGCGGUGGCUCACGCCUGUAAUCCCAGCACUUUGGGAGGCCGAGAUGGGCGGAUCACGAGGUCAGGAGAUCGAGACCACCCUGGCUAACACGGUGAAACUCUGUCUCUACUAAAAUACAAAAAAAAAUUAGCCGGGCGUGGUGGCGGGCGCCUGUAGUCCCAGUUACUCAGGAGGCUGAGGCAGGAGAAUGGCGUGAACCCGGGAGGCGGAGCUUGCAGUGAGCUGAGAUCGCACCAGAGCACUCCAGCCUGGGUGACUGAGCAAGACUACAUCUCAAAAAAAAAAAAAAAAGACUCCUAGGAUGCCCGACCCUAUGCUCUCUCCAUGAGUAUCUGCCUCCCAGUUUAAAGUUUAGUAAUACCCAAGUUUUGAAAUAUGUCUUUCAUCGCAUUUGAAAGCUAAAUAAAUACAUACAUCUCAUUAGUUUAAGAAUCCUAAAAUAUCUGUGUCUUCAUUGCUUCUGUUUUAUUACUGUGCGGUAUGAUUCUGGUUUUGCGUCUGGGAAAUGAGUUAAUCAUGACCCUUCCUUACAGCCCUCUGAGACAGGGAGCCUCAUUACGGUGCCUUCAUUUUCCAGAUGAAGAAACACAGCAGCAAGAGGUUCUCCGAGAGGUAAUAGAAGGCUCCAGGUGGGUGUUUGUUGACUUGAGGGUGUUUGAUCUGGCAGUGCUUCAACACUCUGUGUGGGAGCGUGCUGGCUCACUCCAGAGCUUACUCACUUUCAGGAGCCACAGGAUGAACACAAGGUACAGGUUUUUCACUUGUUUUUCUCUUUGUUUUUUUAAACAGCUUUAUUGAGGUAUAAUUGAUAUAUUAAAAAACUGCCUUUGGGAGGCCGAGGUGGGGGGAUCACGAGGUCAGGGGUUUGAGACCAGCCUAGCCAACAUAGUGAAACCCCAUCUCUACUAAAAAAUAAAAUACAAAAAAUUAGCUGGGCGUUGUGGCGGGUGCUUGUAAUCCCAGCUACUUGGGAGGCUGAGGAAGGAGAAUUGCUUGAACCCAGGAGGUGGAGGUUGCAGUGAGCCAAGAUCGUGCCACUGUACUCCAGCCUGGGAGACAGUGUGAGACUCCAUCUCAAAAAAUAAACAAACAAAAAAACUGCACAUAUUUAAUGUAUACAAUUUGAUGAAUUUGGACAUAUGCAUACACUCAUGAAACCAUUGCCACCAUCAAAGUAGCAGAUAUAUUCGUCACUUCCAAAAAUUUCCUUCUGUCCCUUUGUUCAGUGGUAAGAAUAUUUGACAUGAGAUCCACCCUCUUAAAUUGCAACACGCACAAUUUAGUAUUGUUAACUACAGACAGUAUGUUGUAUAGCAGAUCUCUAGAACUUACUCAUCUUGCAUAACUGAAACUUUAUACCAAUUGAACCACAUCUCCCUAUUGCUCUUUCAUUUUUAAUUCUGAAAGCAGUAGAAGAAUGAUAUAGGAUUUUU